CCUACGGGUGGCAGCAGUGGGGAAUAUUGCUCAAUGGGCGAAAGCCUGACGCAGCGACGCCGCGUGAGGGAUGAAGGUCUUCGGAUCGUAAACCUCUGUCAGCAGGGAAGAACGGUCACUGUGCUAAUCAGCAGUGAAUUGACGGUACCUGCAAAGGAAGCACCGGCUAACUCCGUGCCAGCAGCCGCGGUUAUACGGAGGGUGCGAGCGUUAAUCGUAAUUACUGGGCGUAAAGCGAUCGUAGGCGGGAUGUCAAGUCAAGGGUGAAAUCCCCGCGCUCAACGUGGGAACUGCCUUUGAAACUGGCGAGCUGGAGUGUGUGAGAGGAUAGUGGAAUUCCGGGUGUAGGAGUGAAAUCCGUAGAGAUCUGGAGGAACAUCGGUGGCGAAGGCGACUAUCUGGCACAUAACUGACGCUGAGGAGCGAAAGCGUGGGUAGCAAACAGGAUUAGAUACCCGAGUAGUC
rnacentral:rRNA from 1 species